GCUGUCAGCACAGAGCCCGACACGGGGCUCGAACUCACAGACCGUGAGAUCAUGACCUGAGCCGAAGUCGGACGCUUAACCGACCGAGCCACCCAGGAGCCCCUGAUUAUAAUUCUUUGUAAUAGAAACUCCACUACAGAGCCUCCAGAUUACGAUCACUUUGAAAUCAGGACUCAGAAGAGGAUCCAGUGAAAAGGAAGCAUGUGGGGAAUCGGAUUUAGAAACAAGCAGCAGCAGAACAACCCUGUGAGGUAAUAAUACUAUGACCUCCAUUUUACAUUACCUCAGAAGGAACUCAAGCAAAGAGAAACUGAGUUGCUUAUCCAAGGUCAUACAGCAGCAAUAUAGAGCCACAAGCUGAAACCAGGUAAUCUGACUCAAGAACCGUGCACUCAUUCAUUAUAUCGUCCUGCAGUUCUGCACAAUGUAUAAAAUGCAAAGGUACUUUCUUAGAAAUAAGACCAUAUGACCAUCUCAAUUUAAUGUUAAAUCUUAUCUUCCUAUUCCCCUCUGCCCAUCCAGAAAAAUACUAACAAUUGUUGGGGAAGCACCCAGUUAGUAAAAGGAGAAACAGGAAUUCACGAUUCAGUGCCCUACGUCCCCAGUUCUCCAUCCAUCAAAUGUAACAUUCCCUUUGUUCAUUUGUUUUUUUUAUUGGUAUUGUAUAGACCUAGUCUUACUAGAGGAGGGCAAAAGACAUGGGCUGAGUUCCAGCUCUGCCUUAACAGGGCAAUGGAAAUUUGGGCAAGUGGUUUGACUUUUUAAAAUCUCAUUUCCACAUUUUGAAAAUGGGAAGAAUAAGGGGCACCUGGCUGGCUCAGCCAGAGGAGCAUGCAACUCUUGAUCUCGGGGUAGUGAGCUCAAGCCUCACGUUGGUUGUAGAGCCUACUUUGAAAAAAAUGGGAAUAAUAAGAUCACCCAACCUAUCUUUAUUCACUUCUCAGAGUAGUGGGUCAGCACUCUGCAUAGGUGAACCUUCCUUAUAAGUUGCUUUCUUUCCUCCACCCUCACCCCCAUCUCCGUGUCUUUUUUUUCCUUCUUUUCUUAUUUCAUGGAAAAAUUAAAAAUAAAAAAAUAAUUAUUUCAUGGACCAUUAUAGCCAAAAGAUACUUGAUUUUCAAACAAUUUCCCCUGAAUGACCCUUAAUGUAUGGAAGGAGUUAUGUCUCUCUGACUGAAUGGGUCACCUCUCCUGGGCUCUAAAGCCCAGAGUUGAGUUGAGCAGCAACAGAGGCAUUCUAUGGAAAUGUUUCUCUUCCUCAGACAGGACAAAGGCAUCUUUAGCAGACAGACCCCAUGUGUCCAGAGCCAGGUACACUUGCCAAUUCCAACAGAAAGCUGUCCUACUUUCUGGGAAAACAAUGGCUGAAGAACAACUAACUUUACAUUCAAAGAAGAUGCCGAGCUAAUUGAAUUUCUUGCAGGUAAGAGUCAAGGUUACAUUAGGCAUUUUAAUACAUUUAACCUCAUAAACAAGGACACAGGAAUCACAGAAAGUUAACUCACUCGUGGUAAGACAUAUAUUAAUUGGCAAAUUGCCUCUGGCUUUGGCACCAUCCCAGUGUGGAGAUUAAUGUGGUGGCCAUGAAGAUGUACCUCACAGCCCUCCAAAUACAGGAAGAAUAACGUCCAAGGGCCUGAAUGCUGUACCCUGAAAUCUGUAGCCUGCUUUGCUUGCAUUCAGGCCAUACGUCCUGUGAGCUGCUCCAGCCAAGACUGAGUGUGGCUAGAAUACAUAAGGUAAAACCAUUCCUAAAAACUGUGGGACUCAGCUGACCACUGACCCGGGCUGACUCAGGGACUCCUCAAUGGCCUCGUGAAUCUUCCCUGGAUGGCACAGGAGUCUAGGCCACUUCACCCAACUUUCUCUUGCUCUUCUUUUCAUUCAGUCAGACUUGCUUCCUGGUCAAAAGUUUCUUCCAUCUUUUUUCUGGGCCCCUCCCCAUUUCACUCACAGUCAUUUCCCCUAGUAAUAUCUUUGCACAUUUAAU